CAGAGCUCUGAGGGACGGGAGGGGGCAGGAGCUUUGCUGCCCCCAGGACUCUGAGGGACGGGCGGGACCAGGGGCUUCCCCGCCCCCAGAGCUCUGAGGGACGGGUGGGGUAGGGGGCUUUUCCUGCUCCCAGAGCUCUGAGGGACGGGUGGGAUCAGGAGCUUCCCCGCCCCCCGGGCUCUGAGGGACGGGUGGGAUCGGGAACUUCCCCGCCCCCUGGGCUCUGAGGGACGGGGAUGUCGGGGGCUUUUCCCGCCCCCAGGGUUCUGAGGGACGGGCGGCUGAGGAGAGCACGGCCUGGGCUUUAGUUUGGCCGUGAAGAAAUCUACGCCUUGUUUUACGGUAAAUGCCCCUGAGCUCGUAGCUAUCAACGUCCUCGAAUAAUUUUGCAAAAUAAAGUGUUGUUUUCCUUCUUCAGGGAAAGAGUAUCAGGCUCAUGUUGUGCAGGUUGGAAAAUACCUCCAAAAAAAAGAUCAACUCCAGCAAGGUUUAAGCUCUCAAGUUCUAAGAUUUCGUCAAUUAAAAAACAACCAAAUCCAGUAGAAGUUGGGCGGAUGGCACAGUGCCCUCAACACAGCACCACAGAAGGAGACCCUCACAACUAAUGCGUAAUAAGCUUUCUACAACAAACCCAGAGGUGUUUAUUUGGUUUCCUUAAAUGAUGAACAUUUCUGUACACAUGGCUGUACACAUGUGAAAUGAUGAACAUUUCUGUACACUUCCCUUUGAGUGGCAGUGUCCACGUGGAAGAGUUGUCAUUCUUGUCAUGUAAAAACAAGCUCCACGUAGCUCUCCUUUGCAGAAAGCUGCAACAGCGUCUGGAUGCUGCCUCCUCUCCUGACAAAUGCUUUGGAUAGUGAUGUGGAGGCACGCUGCCUCAAGGCUUGUGUACUCCAGGGAAGCAUGAAGUCCUUAACUAUUGUCCCAUUGCUGUAUAUCACCAACCUUUAGGAAAAUCAUUCUCUGUGCUGGAAACCUCAGACUGGCACGUGGAGCAGAGAGCCAGGGUGAGCCCUUAGCUCUGUGGCCCAGCUCCCUGUGACCAGCACAUUAUCCUAAGGAAUGGGCUGGAAUUAGCCUGCACUCCCUUUGGACAGCCAACCUGCCAAGUCACUGUGCCCAGUGCAACAGAGCUGCUGGUAAAAAUAGCAUGAAAUACAUUCAGUAGCACAGCCGUUGGGACCCAGGAGACAUGGAGAGCCCUGUAUUCCUGGAGAAUUGACCUUAAUGCCGAGAAGAUGCAGUUUCCUCCUAAAUAUUACUCUUCCAAACGCCAUUGCUCCAAAUGCUACCUUGGAUCCACAGCUGGAAGGUGGAAAGUGUUUAUUGCCUUUAGGGUCAUUGCUUUCCUUUGGGUGAGGUAAGCCAGCUUCCAUCCUUACAAGGGUCUGAAAUCGUCAUGGCUAGCAGGUAGCAAAUGUGGUUUUGUUCCUGAAACUCAAUGUCCAAAGUCAGAAAGCAGCUACACUGAGAAAAUGAAUCUUGUGUCAAAGCUCAUCCUGUGAAAGGUGAUUUACCAGUUCCUUUUUGAUGAACUUGGAAAGUCCCAUGAUCCGCUUGCACUCACUGGGCCCUG